rnacentral:rRNA from 1 species
GACGAACGCUGGCGGCGUGCUUAACACAUGCAAGUCGAACGAAGAGCGACGGAAGCUUGCUUCUAUCAAUCUUAGUGGCGAACGGGUGAGUAACGCGUAAUCAACCUGCCCUUCAGAGGGGGACAACAGUUGGAAACGACUGCUAAUACCGCAUACGAUCUAAUCUCGGCAUCGAGGAUAGAUGAAAGGUGGCCUCUACAUGUAAGCUAUCACUGAAGGAGGGGAUUGCGUCUGAUUAGCUAGUUGGAGGGGUAAUGGCCCACCAAGGCGAUGAUCAGUAGCCGGUCUGAGAGGAUGAACGGCCAC